CUAUAGAGAUGAAUGUCCAACUAUUGGAAUAGUCUGUUUGGACCGCUUACGGAAUAAGGAUACAAUACAGCCUUGGGAACUGACCAGAGGAGUGUUCGGCAUUGACUCAGAUGGUGAGCUGUUUACCGUCGAUAAAAGCGGUGAAAGGUGGACGUUGAACCCAGCUUCAUUGACCGAAGUUAAUGUUCAAAGUGACGGUAACACAACGACUAGCCC